rnacentral:misc_RNA from 1 species
GUUCACCUCUUUUCAAUUAGAUAUUUGAUAACCAUGAUUGCAAAUAACAGGGUUUUGUUAUUAAUCAAGCAACAAGUUGCCUUCUAUAUUGCAUUUGUUGAAUUCCAUUAACUGUUUAACUUUGUUCUGCAGCCAUUUGCAAUGAGUUUUACAUUAUCAUGUUAAAUUAUACCUCUGAAUUUAAAGAAUUGAUGAAUUUCAAUGCACUUGAUUGAGGGAAAUGAUGGAUUAAUCUUCCCUUAUUUAGUUGGUGAAGGAUAGGCAGGCAGCACUCAUGUAUAUCAAUCAUAUUUUCUUAUUGUUAACCUAAUCCAGAGCAGAUUUUCCCAGUUGGUCUUCUUUGGUCUGAAUGUAGCUUUAAAACCAUAUAGGUCCACUGGCUGAGUUUUAACUUCCACACUAGCCUCCUGGAAGAGAAAUUUGAUGUAUAAAAAUCUAGCUGCGAAACUUUGAGAAUUUCAUUCCUCAUUAAGCAAUAGACUUUUAUUUGUUAAUUUUGUUUUUUCCAUCAAAUGGCAUUAAUGACCUUUUUCCUUUAUUGUUAAUAAGAUCAAAGCCUUGACUUCUACCACUCAGGUGGCGGUCUUAUCAUUGAUGUCAGACAUCAUUGGCAAAUGGCAAUGAAUUGCAUAGUUCCUUUGAAUCUUGAAAGACAG